rnacentral:rRNA from 1 species
UACAGAGGGGGCAAGCGUUAUUCGGAAUUACUGGGCGUAAAGCGUGCGCAGGCGGUGAUGUAAGACAGAUGUGAAAUCCCAGGGCUCAACCUUGGAACUGCAUUUGUGACUGCAUCGCUGGAGUGCGGCAGAGGGGGAUGGAAUUCCGCGUGUAGCAGUGAAAUGCGUAGAUAUGCGGAGGAACACCGAUGGCGAAGGCAAUCCCCUGGGCCUGCACUGACGCUCAUGCACGAAAGCGUGGGGAGCAAACAGG